rnacentral:tRNA from 1 species
GGAGAGGUGCCGGAGCGGUCGAACGGGGCGCACUCGAAAUGCGUUGGCCCGCAAGGGCCCGGGGGUUCGAAUCCCUCCCUCUCCGCCA